GUUGUUUAUCUGGAAAUCAAUCUAUUCUGCGGUAUUUUUGUGAGGUUGAGACCUUAUCAGCUCUCCUUGCUCUUUAUGCCGCUGAUUGGAUGCACUUUCCUCUUAACAAGUCAACAUCAAUUUCUUUUGUUGUAAAAUGGUUGUUGGAAGGUGGCUUUCUUUUCGGAGAAAGUGUUUAUAGCCAGCGAUCCCUGCAAUCGGAGAGAUUGAGGUCUGCAGCGUAGAUCCUUCGGGGUUAGAUACUUUGGUGCUAAGUUAUAACCGGGUAUAGACAACUUGUUGACUAUGCUCGAUCCUGUAGCUUACCCGCUGAAGCUAUUUUACCUAC
rnacentral:rRNA from 1 species